GUCGAGCGAGGCGGGUAGCAAUACCCAGUCGAGCGGCGGACGGGUGAGUAACGCGUGGAUAAUCUACCUUUUGGUGGGGGAUAACCCGGGGAAACUCGGGCUAAUACCGCAUAAGAUCGCAAGAUGAAAGGGGCGCAAGUCCCGCCGGAAGAGGAGUCCGCGUCCGAUUAGCUAGUUGGUAGGGUAAUGGCCUACCAAGGCGACGAUCGGUAGCCGGCCUGAGAGGGUGAUCGGCCACACUGGAACUGAGACACGGUCCAGACUCCUACGGGAGGCAGCAGUGGGGAAUUUUGCGCAAUGGGCGAAAGCCUGACGCAGCAACGCCGCGUGGAGGAUGAAGGUCUUUGGAUUGUAAACUCCUGUCAGCAGGGAAGAAGGCCUCGGUGAAGAGCCGAGGAUUGACGGUACCUGCAGAGGAAGCCCCGGCUAACUCUGUGCCAGCAGCCGCGGUAAUACAGAGGGGGCAAGCGUUAUUCGGAAUUAUUGGGCGUAAAGGGCGCGUAGGCGGUCGUGCAAGUGGAAGGUGAAAUCCCUCGGCUCAACCGAGGAACUGCCUUUCAAACUGCGUGACUUGAGUCCGGGAGAGGUGAGUGGAAUUCCCAGUGUAGCGGUGAAAUGCGUAGAUAUUGGGAGGAACACCAGUGGCGAAGGCGGCUCACUGGACCGGAACUGACGCUGAGGCGCGAAAGCGUGGGGAGCAAACGGGAUUAGAUACCCCGGUAGUCCACGCCGUAAACGAUGAGUGCUUGGUGUAGCGGGUAUCGACCCCUGCUGUGCCGAAGUCAACACAU
rnacentral:rRNA from 1 species